GCCUCGCUUGUACUGCACGGCUGGCUCCCCUCCUAAGGGACAGGUCACAGGUUCGACUCCUGUCUAGGGCACCA
rnacentral:tRNA from 1 species